rnacentral:rRNA from 1 species
UACGUAGGGAGCAAGCGUUGUCCGGAAUCAUUGGGCGUAAAGCGCGCGUAGGUGGCCCCAUAAGUCCGCUGUGAAAGUCAAAGGCUCAACCUUUGAAAGCCGGUGGAUACUGUGGGACUAGAGUACGGAAGAGGCGAGUGGAAUUCCUGGUGUAGCGGUGAAAUGCGCAGAUAUCAGGAGGAACACCAAUGGCGAAGGCAGCUCGCUGGGACGUGACUGACGCUGAGACGCGAAAGCGUGGGGAGCAAACAGG